AACGAGGCCGACCUGCGGCUGAGUUACCUGCGGAGGGAUCAUUACCGAGUGUAGCCCCCCGAUAAAAAGGGGGCACCUCCCGUCCUUUGCUGGGUCCUCUUUUGGGGGCUUUCGACUUCUGCUUCGGUGGGGUUACCCGCCGGAACACCCUCAAAAAUCUUUUUGUUAAACUGUUCAGUCCGAGGGCUUUAAAAUUUAUGAAAAACUUUUAACAACGGAUCUCAGAUCGGAAGAGCACAC
rnacentral:misc_RNA from 1 species